UAUCUGUGUGUGUAUGUGGUUAAAAUUGAUAAUUGAAUUAAGAGCAUGACUAUUUACGCUCCCUCUCAUGUUGUAAUACCUCUUGAUUUUGAAUGUUUAUUUAGAAGCAUGGUAUCAAUGUUUUUAACCACUAUUGAAUGAUUUAUGAUUUAUCUUUAAAUUGAUGAGAGGGGUUUUACAUGUUGAUAAAUGUCGAAUACAUAUAAUGAAAGAAUUGCAUAGUUUGCCAAGGAUGCAUGACCACCACAUGUUUGUUGAAAUGAUUGAAAAGAAUGAUCUUUGCAUAAUUUGAUAAAUGUAUUGAAGUAUGAAUCUUCUAGAAUUGUUUGAAAUAUGGUUGUCUAAACUUUAUGCUUUGAAAAAGAAAACCGUGAUAUGAUUUUUAUGGCUCAGAAACAUGACUUGCAAGUCUUGGUAUGACGAUACCAGAUUCGGAUAAUGCCAUAGCAAAUUUAGAACAGAUUAAAUAGACAGAUUUCAUCUCAGAUUUUCAGAUUUAGAACACAGACAGAUGCAUGUUUAGAACAUACUAAAAAUGGGCUUAAGAAAUGUUAGGUGGUUACCCGAAGAAGGCAUGAGCCCUAAAAUUCAUUGCCCGAAACCGUGUUUUGCUUAUAUGGGCCUAUUAUUAUUGUACGCUGGCGACGGCCCUGUGGCGUAGCAGAUUAAGAUACUCCAACCCUUGCAGCACACUUGGGUUGGGGGCUUGGCCGCCGAGUUAUGGGCGGAUCCCAUAUAGCCCGUGGGGUAGCUGAUAUGUAGGGUACACCACCAAGCUCAAAAGUAAUACAAAGUAUAGAGUUGCAUUGACAAGACUGUUUUAAGAUUUUGAGAUGACCCAUGAGAUUUUAAACUAUGCAUGCAUAAUAUUCUUAUGACUUGCUCUCACCUAUAUUUUAUAUGUAUAAAAUUCAUUAUUUUGGAUUUCUCUCCGUACCAAUACAAUUGUAUUGACCCCCUAUAUUUUAGGGCUGAGGCUCAGUCUAGAGGUCUCGCUAAGCAAUAGAGUUAUCUGGACAAAAGUGAAGAGUGCAGUGGUGAGCCUUCUUUAUUUCGGAAGGCAUAUUAUCUUUUCAUACAUUAGUUAUUUCUUUUGGUUUAGGUCCACUGGGGCUUUGUCCCAGAUUCAGACAGUCUUAUUGAUGUUGUAUUUGGUAGAGAUUUCACAGACGGAUAGAGACGUCUAAAUGUUGAUGAACUUAUUUCUGUAUUGUUACAUCGAUUUCAGAUUUUGACGAUGAUUCUAUUUAUUAUAUUUCCGCAUCUUUUCCUUGUUAUUCGAGUAUGGUGCAUGAUUAUCAGAUGUAGAAGAGCGGGACCCCGAUUAGCUCAAAUUGGAGAUUAUUGGUUAGAUGAUACCUCCCACAGUCUUAGAUAUAGUCUCAGUUAUAGUCUCAAAUUCAGUUAUAUAGUCUUAGAUUUGUUUGACAAAAGCAUACAAAUAUCAGUAUUUUGUCAAUAUUUUAAUUUACAGGUUUUACUCAGUCUAUGUUAUAUGUUUGGUCAUGCAUUCCCAGUGUCCACAGGUUUUCACAUAUCUUCAAUAUUUACAGACUGUCAUGCAUACUCGGUAUUUACAGAUUUCUUCAUACUUUCAUUAUCUACAGAUUUCAUGUUCUCUACUCAGUAAUCUAUGUUUUACAUAUAUAGUCAGUUAGUUAUUAUUAUUCCUAUUCAUGAAACCAUGCAUAUCAGCCUGCCUCAUUUAGCAUACCAGUACAUUCAAAGUACUGAUCGCAUACCUUCCUUUUGCGCUAUGAUAUAUUAUAUCAUAGGUGCUGACACUCAGUUCUCGAAUCGCACUUAGUCCCUCAGAUCAUCAGCAGUACAGUAGCAGUGGUGAGUUCUCGUCAUCCGAGGUAGAUUAUAUUACUUCAUGUCUUUACCUCAGUUGUUAGUAGAGUUAGUUGGGGGCCUGUCCCAUCAACUCACAGUAUUCAGUUUAAAGACUUUUCAGACACUAUAGUUAGCUAUUCAGAUUAUUCAGAUUUCAAUAUUAUGUCAGAUUCAUAAUUCAGUAGUCGUUUCAUUAUUAAAACCUUAUGGCAUUUUAGUUAUUCUUUUGCAUUCAUGAUUAUAUUAUUUAGUGCUCAUAGUAGGUACCAGCUCAUGGGUUAGCUUGUGGUCCCUCGGGACCGUAAGCACCGUGUAACGACUAGGGGGUAGUCUCAGGUUAUUACAUAGGAUGAACCAAUUGGCAUAGCUGAGAUCUUUGGGAUGUAAAACCUCAAAGAUACACCACUUGAGGUUCUCAUUUGAUAAGGGAAAAUAAGCUAAAACCGAAACUACACUAAAGAAAGAGAUGAAGUAGAGAUGAUGACAUAAGAUGCAAAGACAACACACGAAUUUGUGAAUCAAAACACAAUCAAAUGCAAUAAAAAAAGGAUAGUAGUGAAACAUAAACCUUUACAAAAUGUAGGUGUAACACCCUGUACUUUUGGGCUAAAGUUUUAACCAUCGUUCCUAUGCGUAUAGUCCCGAACCCAAUGAUUCUUUGUUAAUACAUGUGUGAUGAUCAAUCCUAUAGUGUGUGAAUACCUUUGAAUAUAAAUUGAGGUCACAAGAAUCCCCUAACUCUAGGACGAGUUGAAAAACUAUUUCAUCGAUUGAGUUUUAGUGGGCACUCCAAUUUGGGUCAACUUUUAUCGACUAUAACUUGUUGUAUACAAUAAAUUAAAAGGCCUACUAUAUAUAGAAUGAAAGGUCUUCAAAGUAUCUUUCCAAUGGUACCAAUCUCGCCUAAUUCGAUAGUCAAGCUAAAAGUUAUGACUUUGCAAAGUGGAGUAUUUUCCAUCCAAUCUGGUUUAAUCUACUUUGCAUCUGCUCCAACAGAUUGGGAGCAGAUUGGGAGCAGUUCAGGGGUAGAAUACACUGGUUUAAUCUUCCUUGCAUCUGCUUCAGCAGACGGGGAGCAGACUGGGCCCAGUUUGGCCACAGAUCAGGGUCAACUUCCAUCGAGUAUAACUUUCUAUAUAUAACAAACUGGGAGGCCUGCUAUAUAUCAAAUGAAAGGUCUUUGACUCCUCUUUUAAACGCAACUAAUUUAGUCCAAAUCCAACAUUUAAACAAAAAUUUAUGCCUAAUUUACUUCAUCAUAUCAGUCUAUCAACUGAGGGACUGUUGUGAGCUUUUUUGUUUCCUAGGGAGUAUUUUAGUCUUUUCCCUCAUCUUACCUCAUCCAUAACAUGAAAUUAAAUUGUGAUUUGAGCAAAAUACAUCCAAAACCACUCAAAUCCUCUCAAUUUCAAACCCUAAAACUUUCCCCAAAGAUCAUGAAAUCAAGCCUUAUGUCCCAGAUUUUCAAGGAACAAAUCAAGAUCCGAGUUCUUCUCUUUAAACUAAGUAAUCUAAGGUACGUGGGGUUUUCCUAAACUACAUGGGCGUGGUGAAAACGUUUUAAUGAUGUUUUGAAUGUUGAGAAAUCAUGAAUUUGCAAUGAGUUUUGAAUUAAAUUUACAAUUGUGCAUUGUGAUCAUUUUUGAUCUAUUGUUUUGGUCUUUAGGCCUUCGCCUAAAUUGAUUUAAAAUCUUAUAUAUAUAUAUAUCUGUGUGUGUAUGUGGUUAAAAUUGAUAAUUGAAUUAAGAGCAUGACUAUUUACGCUCCCUCUCAUGUUGUAAUACCUCUUGAUUUUGAAUGUUUAUUUAGAAGCAUGGUAUCAAUGUUUUUAACCACUAUUGAAUGAUUUAUGAUUUAUCUUUAAAUUGAUGAGAGGGGUUUUACAUGUUGAUAAAUGUCGAAUACAUAUAAUGAAAGAAUUGCAUAGUUUGCCAAGGAUGCAUGACCACCACAUGUUUGUUGAAAUGAUUGAAAAGAAUGAUCUUUGCAUAAUUUGAUAAAUGUAUUGAAGUAUGAAUCUUCUAGAAUUGUUUGAAAUAUGGUUGUCUAAACUUUAUGCUUUGAAAAAGAAAACCGUGAUAUGAUUUUUAUGGCUCAGAAACAUGACUUGCAAGUCUUGGUAUGACGAUACCAGAUUCGGAUAAUGCCAUAGCAAAUUUAGAACAGAUUAAAUAGACAGAUUUCAUCUCAGAUUUUCAGAUUUAGAACACAGACAGAUGCAUGUUUAGAACAUACUAAAAAUGGG
rnacentral:lncRNA from 1 species